AUGGCUGCAGAGAUUCAUGAACUCAACCAAAAGGGAUUUCACAUUCAAAAGGAAAAUGUAGAACUUGGCAAAAAGUUGAGCAUUGCUCAUGAGCACAAAAUAGAGCUGCAGAAGAAGCUUUCCGGGGCGAUGAGAUCGAGUGGGCAGCAAGCCAGUGGAAGCAGCUCAAAAGCUGCUGCCGGGUUAUUGUUGUCGACUAGAGUACGUGAACCAAAUAUUGACCUUGAGUUGCGCCAGCAGGAGCAUGAGGAUGAAUAA
rnacentral:rRNA from 1 species